AGUUGAUGCACAUGGCGGUUUCCUCCCAGUUCCGCAGCAACAACUGUUCCCCUCUGGAGGUUCAUACCUUCAAAACUAAUGGGCCGCGGUUUUCCGACGGCCCUUUUUU
rnacentral:sRNA from 20 species